rnacentral:rRNA from 1 species
AGCAGCCGCGGUAAUUCCAGCUCCAAUAGCGUAUAUUAAAGUUGUUGCAGUUAAAAAGCUCGUAGUUGAAUUUCGGGGUCAGCAGGUUGGUCGUGCCACUGGUAUGCACUGGCCUCGCUGAUUCCUCCCUCUUGUAGAACCGUAAUGCCAUUAAGUUGGUGUUGCGGGGAAACAGGACUGUUACUUUGAAAAAAAUUAGAGUGUUUAAAGCAGGCUAACGCUUGAAUACAUUAGCAUGGAAUAAUGAAAUAGGACGUUUGAUCCUAUUUUGUUGGUUUCUAGGAUUGACGUAAUGAUUAAUAGGGAUAGUUGGGGGCAUUAGUAUUCAAUUGUCAGAGGUGAAAAUUCUUGGAUUUAUUGAAGACUAACUACUGCGAAAGCAUUUGCCAAGGAUGUUUUCAUUAAUCAAGAACGAAGUUAGGGGAUCGAAGACGAUCAGAUACCGUCGUAGUCUUAACCAUAAACCUAUCGCCGACUAGGGAUCGGAUGAUGUUUAAUUUUUAANGUUACUCAUUCGGCG